rnacentral:lncRNA from 1 species
AAAGGAUCCUUUGGAAUUUAUUCCCAGCCGAUGCUCUUUUGAUAUUACAGAGAGUUAUAAAAUCAGGAUGCUGUCACAACUGUUGCGAAGUAUACACUGAAGUUGUGUCAUUUUUGCCACUAGAUGAGAUUAAAAGGAGACAAUUUGUUCAAAGCCAUCACAAAACACUCUAAGACUGACCAAAAUUUAGAUAACCUUUGAACCGCAGUUUUUUCCCACGUCUGUGAGACACAGUGCAUUGCUACUGCCCUUCCAGAGACCGUGUUGAACAAAGAAAGUCCAAAAGACUCUAAAUGAAAACCUUGAUACCGUUGAGGAUGUGUUUCAUUCUGGUGGUCUGUUUUGCAACCAUGAUGACAGAAUGUCCCCUGCCGUUAUAAAUGCUAUAGAGAUGUGGGCUGUGGCCGGCCAUCCCGAGAUGUAACAUGGCACAAGACAAACUGCUACACUCCCUCUAGUCAGAAACCUGUGGACCGUGGGGGCUGGACAUCCAUCUCAUCCAUCUGUAGACAAGAUGUGCUUCCGAAUCCUUUGGAAAGCCAGAUUGGGGGGCGGGGUGCAGGCGAUCGGAGGGUGGCACUUAAACUAGAGUGACCCCAUUCCCCAACCUGAAUCGUGGCCACACACAGGAAAUUUCCCCACUGGCUUUCCAGAGCAGGACUGUGGCUGCCACCUUCCCCUCCUCGUGUUUUGAGAAAACAGCAGCGUUGGUCAUCUAACAAGCAUCCAGCUCAGCACCGGGCACCAAAAAGUAGAUUCAUUCAACUAGAGACCCCAGCUCCCCUUCUCACCAUUUUCUUUCUCAAGUUGACUGGUGCUUUCUGGAAGGUGUCUGCGCCUCCAAGUUUAUGAAGAAUGAAGCUAAAAGGUUGAUUGACCACAGCAUGACCACCAUAUCCCGAUCUCCAAGUCCAUCCUCCCGCCUUCUAACACGUGACGUUUUGGGGAAUGGAGACUUAAACCCCAACUCAGAGAAGCCCUCCCUCCAGCAUCUUCGUUGUCCUGGUUUCUAGGGAGAGAGUUCCCAAUUUGAAUGGAACAGCCACCAUAGUGGCUGUUGACUCUCUCCUGGUUUUUUGUUUUUUCAUUUUUUUGGCCAUCUCGUGGCAUGUGGAGUUGCCAGGCCAGGGAUCAGAUCCGAGCCACCAUUGCAACCUGUGCCACAGUGUGGCGACCUGACCCACUGUGCUAGACCAAGGAUCGAACCUGCGUCAUGACGCAGCAGAGACACCAAUCCUAUUGCACCACAGCAGGAACUCCUCUCCCCAUUUUUAUUUUACUGUUUCUUUUAUUUUUCUCAAACUCUGUGGGGAAGCUGAGUUGGGUGACUUUGCAGCUGAAUCAAGAAUGACGAUGAAAAGGUGGUCAUAGUGGUGCCAACCCAAUGCCUGGGGGUUUCAAGGAUACAGCGAACAUUUCGGAACUCAGGCCAACAAAAUCCAGUGACCAGAAGGGGACAGUUGAGGGCCGUUCCAGAAAUCUCAACUCUCAUGCACCCAGCCCAGGCUGCAGUCUCCACACCAGUCAAUGAAGAGCAACGCAAACCCUGCAGGAAAAACCUCCUUUUCCAUACACCCAGGCUAUGCAUUGAAGAGUUUUCCACUGUAUACAUUUUUAUCCAGAUGAAGGUAUUUUUGUAUUUUGACAAUAGGAAACAGUGACCAAUUUUCAGAGUCAUCAAAUCUGGAACAAAUGAAACAUCUCCCUUUAGCCACCGCUGCCCUGUCCCAAUUAAGGCACCCAUGGGGGACACACCACUUUUUACUGUUGAAACCCACACAACAUUGAAAUCCAGGCUUACAUGCAGACUGCAGUUGUUAGAGGACUAAAUCUGGCUUUUGUGUGACGGGAUUUGAUUAAGCACUUAGUAUAGUCUUUUGAACGCGGAAAUCCUGUUGUACUUAAAGCUAGCAGACCCGUGAACAACUUUGUCAGGUUCACGUCCUAUAACGGUAAACAGAACAAAAACCCACAAAACCGUUUCUAUGAGAGAUUGAUGAACUUUGUUUAAAUUAAAAAAAAAAAAAAGGAACACGUUCUGUAAUAAACACGUCGCUCAAUACAGAAUUGUAUAAUAAUGUCUGGGUCUCCUGCUUGCUUUGUCCUGGAGCUGGGGGUACAAAUUGGGGGUCAGAUCUGGCCCUCAAGUGUUUUACAAAGUGAUAUUUUUAAAAACUUUUUAAAAUUCAUUUGCCACGGAUAAAAUGUGGGGGCUUGUCACCUAAAAAUUGCAAUUACCAGCUUCACUGGAAAAACCGUUAAGAUCUGGCUACACUGGGCUCAAGUCGCAGUGCGACAACAGGAAGCUGAGGAGGGGCCACUCCAUUAGGUCACGUGCCUGUGAUGUUCCUUGGUCCACACCUGUGCCCCCUGCCCAGGUCCUGUGGACAUCUUGGUUGGCAGUUGUGCUGUGGGCUCCAACAAUGAAAGAUGGAAGGAUUGGAAUCACUUUCCACGCAUUUCAACAGGUGGAAGCUGGUUAGUCUCUGGGAGCCAAAAUCAUGCCCUGCCCCAAUUGGACCCAUGGGCUUGGGCCUAAGGCCAGCCAGUUUACAAGCUCUGCCCACCUCAGUGGAGGGCGUGAGUGGCGGGUGUCCCCAGGCCUCCUGAUGGAAAAAUGCCAGGAGGGACUUCCUGGUGACAAACACAGCAGUGCCCCUUUCCCAGAUGUAUAACUAGGGCCUCAGUCUCCCUCUCUGUAAAAUGAGGGUAGCACAACUCUAAAGGUCAUUAUCAGGAAAAAUGAUGCAUGUAAAACGCAUAAGCCAGUGUGGGGCACAUAAAGGCUCAGUGUUACUUACUGAUUUUGUGAGUGGGAGUGGGGUUCUUUCAACCCAUGAUAGUGAGUCUCUCUGUUCAUCAAGCCUCAGGAGGUUUGUUUUUUCUUGAUCAGUAAUCUCAAGAGAGUUCUCCAAGUGGCCUUAAACAUUACUCACCCAUGAGCCAAGGGCACGUGGCAUCGCAAGACAGACUUUUUCUCUUUAUUUGGAAACCUUCCGAUCGUCUCAGUUUUUCCUCAGUGGAUACAGACAUUGUGUCUGUAGUUGCUGCCCAUCUGGAGUGGACAAUGCAACAAAAACACAGAAAUGUGGAAUUCUGAACUAGGGACCAUGGGAGAGUAGGGAGUGGAGAGACCAAAAGAAAUGAGAAGGAAGAAAGGCCUUGCAGGCAGAGGCAGGUUUAGAUGAGGGGUCAGAGGAGAGCAAAGAGCUGAGCUGGGGGCAAUUUAGCGACCAUUCAUCCAGGUGAUAAGUAUGAAUUGAGUACCUACUGUGUGUUCAGUGCUUCAAUGGCAGAAAUAUCAUCGAGAGCAUGAGUCCUGGAAGGCUUCUUGGAGGAGGAAACAGCUUACCUGAAAGACCAUAGGAGUUAGAGGAGAAGCAUAAGAGGUGGGUAGAAGGGAGAGCUGGCAAGCCAGGGGACAAGGGUAUGAGGAAACCAGUCCAGAGGAAGCUGGAAUUUGAGGUGAGGGUAGAAGGAAGAAGCCAGACAGGGCCACAGCAUGAAGCCCCCUGGGGCAUGGUGGGAAAUAGGCCCUUCUCCUGAGGAGAGCUGGGGAGCUAUGGGGGGUGUUAGGCAGGGGGUUGCUGUGGCCAGACUUGCACUUCUAGGAGCUUAGGAGGUUGCAUUGGCCUAGGAAGAUGGCAGGCCAGACCAGAGCAGCAGGCCCACUCCCAGUGCAGACCCUGACUUCAAGCCUCUGCGGUUCUUGCUUCCCACCCCUCCCCUCCUUGUCCCCCUAGUUAAGCUCCUCACAGGGCCAGCAGCCCCACCUCCCAUCACCUCCUGGUGAAUGGAUAAGCCACACCUCACCUGGCUGACUGGCUCAUGACCCCUGAGGUGUCUAUUCUAGAAAACAAUCUAAAGGCCAGGAGCUCCAGAGCACAGGGUGUGUCUUGUUUUGCAGGCACCCAGGAGGCUGAAGCCACCCUACCAAACCCCAAAGCUGUGAGGAUGGGGCAGGGACCACCAUCCUAAGUGAUCUUGGCCAACGAUGAGAGGGGUAAAAUAAUUGACCUCUUUCAUGGUCUGUGACCUUCCCUGUAGGGUAUAGUUAGUAAACACAACUAAAUGCUUCCUGGCCUGGGUUUCACUCUCUACUAUCAGGUAACCUGAGGACCCUUUAAUGAAACUCCUUUAAUGUUUCCUUAUCUGUAAAAUGGGCAUGAUCAAAGUACUAUCUACCUGUUUGUUGUCUAUUACUGCCAAAACAUAGUGACUUAAAACAAUAAACAUUUAUCUCGCAACCGCAACCUCUGUGGGUCAGGAAUUUGGGAGUGGCUUGGCUGAAUGGUUCUGGCUCCCAGUUCUCAAGAGGCUACAGUUAAGCUGUCAGCCCCAUGGCUGCAGUCAUCUGAAGGCUUUUCCUGGGUUGGAGAAUCCACUGCCACAAAGGCAUACUCAGAUGGGGGGCGAGCAGAUGCCCCCCAAAUGGCCUCUGCAAAUGGCCUCCUCUACGGGGCUGCCUAAGUGUCCUCAAAACAUGACAGCUAAGAGUGAGCAAGGCAGAGUCUGCAGUGUCUUCCAUAAUCUGGAUCUGGAAUCCCCACUGUUGCUUCCAUAGUAUCUUCUCGGCUUGUGUCAUUUAGUGUGGAAGGGACUACACAAGGGUGUGGACCCCAGAGGCAAGAAUCACCAGGGGCCAUCAGGGAGGCUGGCAACCACGCUGCCUUACAAGAUCCUUUGAAGGAGUUCCCGUUGUGGUUCAGUGGUUAACGAAUCCGACUAGGAACCAUGAGGUUGCGGGUUCGAUCCCUGGCUUUGCUCAGCAGGUUAAGGAUCCCAGCGUUGCUGUGAGCUGUAAUGUUGAUCGCAGACACGGCUCAGAUCUGGCGUGGCUGUGGCUGUGGCGUAGGCCAGCGGCUACAGCUCCAAUUGGACCCCUAGCCUGGGAACCUCCAUAUGUCACGGGUGCAGCCCUAGAAGACAAAAAAAAAAAAAAGAUUUAUUGAACUGGUAAAUGCAGAUUCCAGGAGUUGCCGUUGUGGCUCAGCAGUAACAAACCCGACUAGAAUCCAUAAGGACAUGGGUUCGAUCCCUGGCCUUGCUUAGUGGGUUGGGGAUCUGGGGUUGCCGUGGCUGUGGCAUAAGCUGGCAGCUGCAGCUCUGAUUCAACCCCUAGUCUGGGAACCUCCAUAUGCUCAAGUGCGCCCCUCCCCCAAAAAAGUGCAGAUUCCUGGGUCCUCCCGCAACCUACAGACCCAGAACUCCUGCAUUUUAAAGAAAUAGCCAUCAUCUAUCAGUAAGUGGGAGGUAGUUUUAAUUCAUUUUGUUUUAUUUGGCCCCAGUGUGUGCGCCAGGCCCUGGUAAAACAGAAGAGAAUAGGAGUACAGAACAAAUAUUCACUGGGUGUUUUCACAUCGGUUGUUGUUGCGUUGAAAGAAAUUGUGAUCCACUUAAACAUGUGCAAACAGGAGUUCCUGCUGUGGCACAAUGGGAUCAGUUUCUUCUCUGCAGCACCAGGUUGUAGGUUCGAUCCCCAGCCAGGCACAGUGGGUUAAAGGAUCCGGCGUUGCCGCAGCUGCCGCAUAGGUUGCAAUUGCAGCUUGGAUCUGAUCCCUGGCCAGCAAACUUCCAUAUGCCGCAGGGAAGCCAAAAAAAAAAGUUACAAACAGUUUAUUGAGACCAUCCAGAGGAAUCUUGUGAAAAUCCAAAGGCUUUGGGACACUGCAUAUUCUUAUCUUGAGCCACGAGUUCUCUCUCUAAGGCCACCUCAUUCCCAGCUUAGUCCAUUCACCCACCCUCAACCCCUCCCCAAUUCAAAAUUCUCAGGACCCUGAUUGGCUCAGCUUGUGUCUAAGGACCAACUCCUGCCCAAGCAGCCAUGGUCAGGGAGGGUAGAAUCAUGUGAGCUGAGUGUGCACGGGAGGUGAUUUUUAACAUAUCUGUGCUGGGUACUGUGCCAGGCCCUGGGGGCACAUGGGAAGCAGACCUGUCCCUGCUCUCAAGGAGUUGCAGUCUGGGGGACCUGGGUGUGCUGCCCCAGGAUUUCUCGGCCCCAUAACUAGAGAAAUAAUAACAGAGCCCCUGGACAAUGAAGGGAGGGCAGUGGCGGUGGCAAGAACAGACACAGCUGUGGUCCCACGUCUGGGGAGACCAAGCUGAGAAAGCUCUGACCCCUCUGUCAGGAGCAGGCAACCAAUUUGAAAACCUAAAGAAAAAACAGUUCAUGGGCCCACCUUUUUAAGUCUUUAUCAGCAAAUGCAAAAUCUGUAGCUGGUCUUAAGUGUUUAUCAGUUGACCGCCAUGGAAUAGUUCCAUUUUGGAUGCUUCAGUUUUAGAAACUGGGGCAAGUGGCAGGGCCUUUUGUGUAAGAUGAUCUGGAGAGACCUUGGGGGGGGUGGACAUUGGGCUCCAGAUCUAGCCAGAGCAGGGACAAAACAGCCCUGUUUGGGAGCAUAAAAGGUGCUGGGCAGAAGUGGGGGUGGGGAGUGCUAGUCUUUCAAUAGUCGUUCACUCAGAAGAGGAGAGAUGAAAGGCAUCCAGGGAAAAGUUGAGGAAAUCAGUGGGCCUUCUCAUGCCCCAAAGGAUCUCACUCUAGCCCUAACCUUCACCCCAGUGAGCUGACAACAGCCCUGUCUAUGGUUGGCUACCCAGAGCCAUGCGCCUUAAAGGGAGCAGCUGCAGUUGCUCAAGCUUAUCCAUUAGCAAGCCUCUGACUGCAAAUAACAAAAAAGUCCCCCUCAAAGCUUUAAACAUUUAUUACCUCAAAUAACAAGACCUCCAGAAGAAGGGCAGGUUCUCAGAUCCAUUGACUGAGCAGUUCAAGGAUAUUUUCAAGCGUGUGCUAAAUUCAGCAUGGGAUAUUUUCCUUAGUGCGGCCUACUUCAUGAUCACAGGAUGGCUGCUACAGCUCCAGGGAUCAGAGGUAACUUAACUCCCAGAGAACAAUGAAGAACUCUUCAUUGUGUCUCUCUUUUUAGAAGCAAGAAGACCCUUCCACUCACAUGUCAUUGGCCAAAAUAAGGUCACACAGCCAUUCCUUUCUCUAUGUAUGUAUGUAACUUUUUACAAAUACUGUUUCCAGUGUACAGCAUUCUAAUUCUACACCUGUAUACACUGAAAGUGAUCAACACCACAAAUCUAGUUGUCAUCCAUCACCAUGCAGUUGAUGCCCUCCACUCAUUUCACUCGCCACCCUCCAACACAGCAGCUCAAGGUUAGCCAGUCCCUGUCAAUCAAAUGGUAGUAGCACAACUGAUAGGAUGUGACUGAUUAUUUAGGGUGGGUAGAUGAUGCGCAGGGAGCUAGCUCCUAACUUCGGA